GCUGGGCUCGCGCGCCGCCGACCGAGCCUCAGCCGCCUCAGCCGCCUCAGCCGCCGCCUCAGCUUCGCCCUCCGCCCCUCGCCUCCCACCGCGCCUCCCGGUCCCGCCGCCCCGCGCGCCCCCAGCCCCUCAAACCAGAUGAUGAACUUCCUGAGGCGCCGGCUGUCGGACAGCAGCUUCAUCGCCAACCUGCCCAAUGGCUACAUGACCGACCUGCAGCGGCCCGAGCCCCAGCAGCCCCCUCCGCCACCCUCAGGGGCGGCUUCGGCCUCGUCGGCGACCCCGGCCGCCUCGCCGGGCCCCGAGCGGAGGCCGCAGCCCGCCCAAGCGCCCGCGCCGCAGCCCGCGCCGCAGCCCGCGGCGGCGCCGUCGGUGGGCAGCAGCUUCUUCAGCUCGCUGUCCCAAGCCGUGAAGCAGACGGCCGCCUCGGCGGGCCUGGUGGACGCGCCCGCGCCCGCGCCCGCCGCCGCCAGGAAGGCCAAGGUGCUGCUGGUCGUCGACGAGCCGCACACCGACUGGUAGGUGACCCGCGCCUCCCGG
rnacentral:lncRNA from 1 species